AUUGAACGCUGGCGGCAGGCUUAACACAUGCAAGUCGAGCGGAGCGAGGGUGCUUGCACCUUAGCUUAGCGGCGGACGGGUGAGUAAUACAUCGGAACGUGCCCAGUCGUGGGGGAUAACGUAGCGAAAGCUGCGCUAAUACCGCAUACGAUCUAAGGAUGAAAGCGGGGGAUCGCAAGACCUCGCGCGAUUGGAGCGGCCGAUGGCAGAUUAGGUAGUUGGUGGGGUAAAGGCCUACCAAGCCGACGAUCUGUAGCUGGUCUGAGAGGACGACCAGCCACACUGGGACUGAGACACGGCCCAGACUCCUACGGGAGGCAGCAGUGGGGAAUUUUGGACAAUGGGCGCAAGCCUGAUCCAGCCAUUCCGCGUGCAGGAUGAAGGCCCUCGGGUUGUAAACUGCUUUUGUACAGAACGAAAAGGCUCUGGUUAAUACCUGGGGCUCAUGACGGUACUGUAAGAAUAAGCACCGGCUAACUACGUGCCAGCAGCCGCAGUAA
rnacentral:rRNA from 1 species